GUCAAUCAUUGCCAGGUGUGAGAUGAGAGCUGAAAGAAGGAGGCAGGAAGUUUUCAUCUGGCUCCGGUGAUGUCCUUAUUUCCCUCAAUGCCUCUGCAAGGUCACAGCUUUAUUCAACUAAGAGGCAUGGAAGGCAGCAGCUCUCUGGGUUCCCUGAGGCCCUCGAGCAAAGAGAAAUACAUGAAACUCAGGUACAAGGGCCAACUGACAGCUCUUCCUCUAAGGCCUCUUCCCAGUGAGGAGGCUGACAUAUACGUGCCAUUCCGCAACCCUGCUGGUGUUGUUGCCGCUGUCUGUGUUUAAGGUCAGCAGAGAGAACUGUGAUGCUGCACGGCACCAUCGGAGCAGCAAAGUGAGAAGCUGUCAGAGACCCAAUGAUGGAGCCAUGAAGACACCUGCUGCUCCUGACCGCUCUUCCUUCAUCACGGUGGACAGUAACCGGAGGACGGUCAGAGGACAGAUGAUAGGGCAGUGCAGGCAGGGGAUGUCUGGGGAA